GAGAGAGAGAGAGAGAGAGAGAGAAAAAGACCAAUUGAAGAUAAAUAGGCUGGAGGUUUUGGGACAGGAUAUGGAGUUCACAUGAAUGAUCAUUAGCAGGAUCUCUGCAGACCAGAGCAGCACUGUUUAGUGGCUGAAAGUCGCCCAGCUGCUCACCCGUGAUGUCUUGAUAUUACGGUCCAAAAUGACACCGAUAUCCUCCACAAACUCAACUUCUGGACAUGGACUGGUCAUGUCAUCGAAACUGUAUAAUGUCUAUUACCCAACAUGGAGUUUCUUAAAGAUGCACCAACACAGAGUAGCCUUGUCUGUUUCCUACUCUGACAUCUGGAUUACAGGACCACACAGAGGGAUGACAUGUUGGAGGCACAUCCAGGCUGGGUGGCCCGGCUGCAGGAAAGAUGUGGGUGACAGGAUCAGCCUUCAACAGACUAUGGAAGUAAUGCGUGUAGACAGUGUAAAACCAGUCUUUUGGAGACCUGUAGAAAGAGCAACGCUGGCAAUUCUGAAUAAAAAAAGAAGAAGAAAAAGUUCUUUGGGAGCCUUGUUUUAGCUGCAGCCUCAUGCACUGGACUCUCAUGCACUACUAAUGUGUUUAAAAAUCCUAAGCAAAAGAAGUAAAGAAUCUAACUUUCCAUUCCCACUAGUUUAUUAAAAGAAUCUUUCAGUGAAAUGCAGCUUGUACAGAUUUCAGAGAUAAAAAAAACAUAAAGGAAAUUUAAUUAUGGCUUUUCUUUGAAAUUACUUUCAAUUACUUGAGCCUUGAUAAAGAUAUUACCCCACUAGUAUUGUUAAACACUCAACAGCUGUUGAAAGAAUGAAGCAUUACGUUUUCAGGAAGGUACAUCAUUUAUAAAUGUACCUUUCCAGCAUCCAUAACUUCUAUGUCCUAUGUCUAUGACUUUUUAAACAAAGUUUAAAAAAAGUUGCUAAAUGAAUAUCGAGACAAACUGUGGAAGAUAAAACAUUUCAGAAAGUUCAUGUGUAGCUUUCUUAAAAAUAAUCUAUUCGCAUUUGUAUCCAAUAUAUUUGCAUUUAAAAGGUUCAUAUACCUGUGACAUGUAGCUAUAAAGCAUUUUCUGACUCACUGGUAGGCUCAUCAACAUUGAACCACUUCUGUGUAGUUCAAGGAGGCCUGAGAACUCCUCGACCCGAGGUGUUUCCUACCAGUCAUUAAAACACUUUGGUUCCUGCAGAAAAUGGAGAAGAUUACCCCCCGUCCCCCUUUCCUGAUAAUCACCUUGUAGCAUUUAGCACAUACUUAACAAAACAAAUGGCCUCUGUGUGAGAGCAAGAGAGAGAGAGAGACAGAAAUCCACUGAUGCUGGACUUUGUCAAGCCUGAGAGGCUGCAGAAAAAAUAGAUCAGAAGUGUCAUCACUAACAGGCCCCUGGAUCCCAGCGGACCAACAGCUUCUACAUUCUUGUUGGAAUGAGGAAUGGUGCAACCGCUGAUUGUUUAUUUUGUUUCUCUAUCUUGUCUUAGCAACCUCUUUUUAAUGAGAAUGUGCAGUUGUGCAUUAAGCGCUGGUCUCCCUCCUUUUCUUGUUAGCUGCUUUUGUGGCUAUGAGAGAAAGAUAAACAGAAAAGACUCUUUG